UUUUUCUGCUUGGGAUUUAAUUUUUCCUUUUUUAUUUUAAAGAUCUUUUUUUUAAUUUAAUAUGACAUUAUUAUUGUUAUUCAUCCAUAAUUAUUUAUUCGAUAUAAUUAUAUUUUAAUUCAUCCUAUCGUUCAUUGUUGAAUCAUGUAUGUAUUCUGCUCUCUCUGAAAUGUACUAUAAUUGUGACCAUGCUGUUCUAAAUUCAGCCCCUGAGAGCUGUUCAAUUAAAACAACCCAGAACGAGUAUAAACCCACCUACUGCAUGUAUGCAUAUAUAUAGAUGGAACACAUAUUCAUAAAUAAUAUUGUUAGCAACCACUUCAUUGCAUUGUUCUUAGUCAAAAACAAACGAACAGAAUGUCGAAAUCAUGUAAAUUUGAAUAUAAAAAGUCCUCGCGUAAUAACAUGUAGAAAAAAAGAGAAAUAGAAAAUUUAUAAUUUGGGAAAAUUAUUAUUAAAAGAAUCAACGAAUUUGCUGAUAUUUUCACAAUAUAAUAAAAGUGAUAUAUUUUAGUUAUUAAAAUUAGUACUUGAUGUCAUAGAAUAUUUUAUUAAUAGAACAUAAUAAUGCUGAUUACAAUUAUAUAUAUAUAUACAUAUACUUAUCAAAUUUUAGAACAUCCGUAUUUGCGGUUUUGUAAAGGAAGUUAUAAAAAUGUUAAAUUAAUUUAAAAAGAAUUUAAUGAUUGAAAUAAUUUUAUAACUUUCUUUUCUAUUUUUGUUAUUUGUACCAAUUUUUAGAAUCACUUAUGAUAUGAAUUUUGAGACCAUUUGUCUCACUAAUUAAAUUUCCCAAACAGAUGAUUCUCAUUUCAAUUAUUACGAGAUAAAAUGCAAUUUUAUGGUGGAAAAAUUUAUAAUUUUAAUUAAGAGCUACAAAUUUAUGCAAAAUCAACAUAAUGAUUUACUUUUUUAUAUAUUUUCGAGCCUGAUAAUACAAGCAAUACAAUACUCCUUCUUUAUUCUAAAAUUGAUCACGUCACUUUGAACUGUCAUUACAGAUUAUUUUUUAUAUUUUCAGACAAUGGACAUCUUUACCAUCUACUUGGAUCGCUAUCAAAAUUCAUCCUGCACUUUAUCCUGCUGUUUGUUGAUUAACCCGUGAAAUGUCACGUUGUGGCUGGCGUUUCAAAGAGGAAUCUUUGUACAAAUUUUACAAGGCGAAUGAUUGAAGGUAAACAAAAUAAAGAAAAAAGAGGGAGAUCGCGAGUAUUUAAUAAUAAUGAGGCGAACGUUUUUUGAGCGCAAGAACGCCUCGGGUUACGGCAAAGGUCCCCUCUUAACACACUUAAUAAAUAUGUUUAUCGCUUCGCCGACUUCCGUCUAUCGGCUGAGUGGGUCCAGUGACGUCACUGCCGUUUUUCUAACGUCACGAUAAAACAAAACCGCAACUUAUACCGGGAUGGCGGUAAAAUAACUGGCCGUAAUCGGAAUGGGCGAGCGUUGUGCAAUCGCUGUACCACGUUUGAUGCAUACAACCAAUUCUAUUUAUAGCUCGGCUUCGCGAUUAUUUUUAACGGAAACGGACAAAGUCGAGGAACGAAACUUCUGGUGAUGACUUCUUCGAUAAGUGGUGCCAAAUUCGUCGAGUCUGAAUGAGAUUUGCCUCUCGACUGUUUCUACUUUAUCUGCUUUGAACUUUACCAGUCUGGUGUAAAGGGAGUUGUAAGUGUUUUUGUGUUUGAUUAGAGAGGAGAUAGAUUUAUUAUGGAAAAAGAGAAAAGAAUUUGGAAAGAUUGUAUAUAUAUAUUUGUGUAACAACGGAAGAAUAAUUUUUAAUUAUUUAAAAUUGAGUGUAGAAUAUAUCAUUUUAUUAAUAUAGAAAGGUUAUAUAUGCACAUAAGUUGUUUUUGUAUUCAAGAAAUGCGUUGUAUAUAAUUAAAUAUAGUUUAUAAUUAAAUAUAAUAUUGCAAAGGUUAAUUUUAUUUCCUUUGGAACGCACUUAUACGAAUGAAUAUCUGUGUUGAAUGAAUAUUGUAUUUAAAUAGAGUAAAGAAAAUUUUUAAAAAAGAAUGGAGGUUAGAAAAUUUAGAAAAAAGAAGUUAGUUUCUUGUUUAGCAUGUAUCGUUUUUUUAAAUUUAUUAAUUUAAAUAAGAAAUAAAUUAACUUAACAUGGAAAAAGAAUUCAUAAUUAUGUGAUCCAAAUAUUUUCACUUUGUUUGAAGUUAAACAAAAUUUGGAUCAUUCUUAAUAGAUGUCUCAUGUCAAUAAUCUUUUUAAAAUAUUGAUUCACCGUUUUCUUAAACAAGCAUUUUAAUUGGAAUAUAACAUGUUCAAUUGAAUAUUGCAAGAAACAAGAAAAAUUCUAUUCUAUCGAAGAAAUUAACUGGAAUAGAGAAAUAAAGUCAUAAAAAUUUGAAGCAUCUGUUUAUAAUGUAUUUUUUUAUUUUGUAAUAAAUGCUUGAAAAAAAAAUGAAAAGAUUGAUUCGAAUAACAGGCAAAUAAUGUAACAAUUGAGAUAUUUAAAUAAUGGAAUAUUUAUUAGAUAUAUUUUUGAAUAAUGAUAAUUCUCAAUUUUAUUUACGAUCGAAAUGUAGAUCUGCAAAUUUUUGGCAAAGAACCGAUUUAUUUUCUUGAAUAUUUCAUUACAAAAUGAAGAAUUUAUUGCCAAAAAUUUAUACAUUUACAUGCUUCGUUUCAAAUUUCAUCAUAAAAUUUUCAAUAUGAUCUAAUGAAAUUAUAUUUUAUAUUAAAUAAAUUCAUACAUUCACAAUUAUAAUUAUCAAAUAAUUUUAAAAUAUAUCCAAUCUCAUUUUAAAUUUAAGAUAAAUAAAACUUUUUUUCAAAUUGCAAAAUUAUUAAUUGAAUAUAAAAGUUCCAAUUGUUCUCGAAAAUAUUCAAUGCAAAAAUUCCUAAUAGAAUUUUUAAUAACAUUUUAAUUCUAAAAACAUUAUAUAUCAUAUCAUUAAUGUUUACUGUUAACUUUUGUUAAUUUUUUAAAAAUAACUGAAAUAUGAUCAAAAUGUUUUCAAUGUUUCGUUUAUUACAUUCGUUUAUUUUAAUUAAAUUUCAAUAGAUUAAAUUUCUUUCUUUUUAUUUAUUUUACCUGAAAAAAUUACAGUUCCUACA